AGGGUUUUCUCUCACCCCAUUUCUCUGCUCUCAUUUGCAGCGCAGCCUGGUUGCAUUGGCCAGAGGCUGGAGGGCAGGGUGUGGGCAGCUGCAUUCUCUCCCACCGUCUUUAGAGUCGUUUCUCCAGCUUUGUCCCUUUCCUCACCCCCGCACACUGCAGUGGGUGUCACGGCUGUGUAGCAUGCCCCAGAUCAGUGCAAGUUACACUGGCUUUGUCGCACCUGCUUGCCAACCAAGCCUGUGGCACUCAUGCCAUGGGAUCCAGGAUUGGGGCCAGCAUCCAUUUACUGAGCAUGAUUGACAGCAGCAGCAAUGCCAGGAAGGAGUGUUGCAGUGGCUGUGAUGGGGCUGUGGAGCAGCGUCCCAUUUCAUCAUGCCUGAUCUGUGGUAUGAAGCCCGACCUGUUUGACAUUGAGUUGCUCGUCUGCUUGCAAAAUGGGGUUACCUUGUCCUGGGCCUCUCAAAAGGACUCUGUGAGGAUUCAACCCUGAAGGCCUGCAGAAGGUUUAGAGAUGUCUGGAUGGAGAUGGGCAGAGGGUUACCACCUCAAGAGUGAAAUGGACUUGAUCUCCCUGCAGCAGCAGAAGCAUCCCUAGGCUCUGGCACUGGACACUGACCCAUUCCCUGUGCUGGGGAAGGGGUGACUGGGGGAUAAG
rnacentral:lncRNA from 1 species